CAUCAAUAUGGAAGCUGACGUGCGAGUUAUAUUUUUUAUUUUAUUUUUAUUUACAAUUUCUAGUGUAGUGUCAGAAACUGUAGAAGGCCUUUAUGACAAAUCGGAUCUAAUAACAUGUCUGAAAUCAAAUGACUUCAACCAAACCAUAUCAAAGUCUUCAAAUCUGUGGUUGGUGGAGUUCUACUCCAGCUGGUGUGGGCAUUGUAUCAGAUAUGCACCCACUUGGAAAGAACUUGCAACUGACAUCAAAGGUUGGCACAGUGUUAUAAACAUUGCAGCAGUAGAUUGUGCCCAGGAGUACAAUACGAAGAUAUGCUAUGAGCAUGACAUCAAGGCAUUCCCAACGAUCAAGUAUUUCAAACCACACACAAAAACCAACAUGAAUGGAUUCAUAAUUGACCAGAAGUUCACAGAUGCUGACACCAUAAGGGAACAUAUACUUGACCUCAUUGAAAGGUAUCAGAACUCCACAGAGUACAAGCAAGAUCCUCCAGAAUGGCCAGUCCUUCGCAAGUUGAGAAAAGAUGAGGAUAUUUGGAAGACAGCUCCUAAAGGCACAGAAUUUGCUGUUGUGAUUGUGGAAGAAAAAUCUCCUGUGUCACUUACUGGACGACAGGUGAUGCUAGACUUGUCUCAGUACAAAACUCUACAUGUGAGACAUAUGCUGGAAGAUAACAGACCUGACUUGAAACUCCAGAUUGAGGACUAUCCUGCAAUAUUUGCUGUAUCAAGGCAGGGUAAUUGGAAACGUAUGGGAGAAGAUGAUACUGAGAGGCAAGACAUAGUAGUUACUUUAAAAGAUCUGAUAGGUGUCAAACACACAGAAUCUGAGUCUCAAAGACAACUAGUCCACUUCAAACAGAAGCCCAUAGCAACAAGUAAGACAAUGGGCGCUCACAUGCAAGAUCUUCUAUCAACAUUGGCAUACUCCCUCCGACAGGAAAUUGCACAUCACCAAAACAUCAUGGGUGAACAUCUUUCUGCACUAAAAGAUUACAUAGUUGUACUGUGCAAGUUUUUCCCUGGAAGUGAGGAAACGAUUAAUUUUUUGAUGAAACUACGGAACUGGCUGGCGACUAAGGAGAUAAGUGUAUCUGGUCAAGAGUGGCUGCAGUUUAUAGAUUACAACAAUGACAUUACAACACAUACACAUUUCCCGACUGUCAUUAAAUGGACAUGUUGUCAAGGUAGCAAGCCAAACUUGAGGGGAUAUAAUUGUGGUUUGUGGACCCUAUUCCACACACUGACUGUCUCAGCUAUGAUACAACAAGAAGAUGACGAGAAUCCUGACUCAAGAGAGGUUGCCAUGGCAAUGAAAGGUUACAUCACCAACUUUUUCGGCUGUAAAGAAUGUGCGAAAAACUUUAAGUACAUGGCAGUUACCAUUGAAAAAGAAAUCCACUCAUUAGAUGAUGCAGUAUUAUGGCUAUGGAGAUCCCACAACAAAGCAAACAAACGUCUCCAUGGUGAUCCAUCAGAAGAUCCAGUGUUUCCAAAAAUCCAGUUUCCAUCAGUCAAAGAUUGUCCACAUUGUCGGAAAUCCACAAUCGAACAGUCAGAUGUUCCAAAAUGGAACGACGAGGAAGAAAUACUAGAUUUUUUAGAAGAUUUCUACUCACCUGAAAAAAUAAUAAUGGAUGUUGAAAAUUAUCAAAUCGCGAAAAAAUUUAUCAAAAAUAAACCCAAUGAUCCCAGAAGAGAAAACGGGCCAAAUGAGAGAGUAAAUCCAAAAUUUGCAAGACAUUUCCAAAAAGAAAGGACAGAAAGAAAUCCUAAAGGAAGAAAAAAAUAUGAAAAUGAUUUGCGUUAUUUGUCCAGCAUUAAUACAUCUAAGGGCUGGAUCAUGGACGGUUAUGAUAUUGGAAUAUGCAUCGGUUUCUAUGUCAUUUCUGCUUUUAUUUUAAUGCUUAUCUACUACCAUUUUAGUGUUAAUAGAAAAAUGAGACUGGGCUGUCCCAAAAGGUAGAAACUGAAGAAAGUUUGGCCAAAUCGAUUCGCCCAUUUAAAUGAAACGAUAUCCGAGGAAUUUUAUGUGACUGCAUUAAACUGUUAAGUAGUCUAGUCUGUUAGUAUAGCUAGUUUAUCAUGCCAAAAGUAGACUAACCAAAACAUUAUAUCCUUACUAAGUUUAACAUCUUUUGGAACGAUAGAAUAUUAAAAUACUUUCAGAUUCCAAAAGUUGUUUAACUUUGCAAAUGGGCUAAACUCACAGUUGAAGUUUUGAGGAACAGUGCUGAAUUUCAGUUAAUACCAAAAAUGAAGAUCAAUCUAUAUAUGUUAAAUACAGAUUUCCAUAUGUACCAGUUUUCUUUAUUCGAUCUUAUUUGAAUGAUGAACAGCUUAACUCAAAGUAUCAAUAAAUCAGGUUGGGAGAGGGACCAAAGAAUAUUUACAUUAGGCCUAACCUCUUGAAUACCUUUUGUCCUUUUUUGCUUGCUUAUCUAAAAUAUACAAUGUUCCAUGUUCAUUUUGGAAAUAAUUAAAUAACAUCCACUUUAAUAAAUGUUUUGUGUCAAAAAAAAACUUGUUAAAGUUAGAAGCAUUUUAGGGAGAAAUUCUGUGACUAAUAUAGUUGGCACCGUGGGUAUUCAAGGGGUUAAACAUUUUAUCCAGUUCAGCUUAGCGUUCUAGUCAGCUAUAAUUUGCCUAAGUACAUGUAUAUGCCUUAUUUGGCAUUAGGGUGCAGGUCUUGGUACUUGUCUAUAGACAAAUGAGUUACUAUGGAUACUCUGAUAGUUUCAAUAAGUAUAGAGAAUUAACAGGAAAGGUGUGGUGUACAGAUUGACCCAGAGCCUGUUAAUUUUGAUUUGGACCAGAUAAUUUUUCAGCAUUACAUAGGAAAAUAACAUGACAUUCUGGGCUAAAUUUCAAUUCUCACAAAUUAGUCUGAAAUUCUUAUGACACACCCUGCUCAGUAUUCCAGAAAUAUUUACUUUUAGAUUGAAUACAGUAUUGUUGUCUGGUGUACUGCUGAUGUAUACAUGCUUGUAAAGAAUGCUUUAUAUUUGUAAUGUAUUGUCAUAUGAUGAAAAGCCAUGUUGGUGUUGAUGAUCAGAUUUCCCAGAAAUUCCCCAGAGAAAAGGCUCAUUAGAAUGAAGAGUUUUAGUUUAUUAACACAUACGUACAUUUGCUACAUAUCAUAAAAACCUAAUCAAUAGGGCUGCAGAAAUAAAUAUUUUCAGAUAUGAAUGCCAUGCGAUGGAGUCAUAUUGCUCACAUGAUCUGAUUUAGAGUUAGAUUUUAAAUAUUGUUCAUAUACAUACUAUUAACAGCUGAAUGAAUACCAUGUAAAAGGAAUUAUUCUAUUGAUUCUGCAGUAUUUCGAUAGCAACAAAUAUUGUGGGACUGUCAUUUAAGGUUUGUCAUAUAUAGAUAUAGGCCUACAAACAAUCUCCAAAUUUUGCCAAUGGAGAAUAUAACAGGACUUGCUUAUUUUAGUUAAUUUGUGAAUUGCAAAAUCAUAUGCCCAGUAAGAAUGUCUGAUUUAUAGCUCAUUCUUCAUUUUUGCCAAUUAUUUACAAACAUUGAAAUUAAUUUUCAUGCAAAUAAAUUAUAUUGAUAUUUGCUCACUGUUAUGCUUUGGUGCUCUAUGGCAAUCUACAAUAAUUAAAAUGGUUGGGUCAAAUUAUAUUGGUCAGCCUUCGGCCAAUCAGGAUGCAGAAUUUCAAUGAAGUGUCUGAUAAAAGAAAAUAUUUGAUUCUGCUUAUUAUAACUAAUUUUAUUUUAAUCAACAUGUAUUUGUAUUAUUCAAGCUCGUCUCAGCUGUUUGUGAAACAUAGCUGUUUACCAAUUAUCAUACAAAUAAUUAAUUUUUAAGUUGGCUCGACCUGAAUGAAAAUUCUCUAUUUGUAUGUCAUCACCAUUUUAAUUUCAUCACCAUUUUGUGAUACUGACAUUCAUUGGUUGGAUGUUUGCAUACCAUUGUAACAUCUUUGUUACCAUUUGCAACAACUUACUAAGUGGCAACAUUUUGUCAUGUAACUGCCUCGUGAACAAUGGAUGUGAUCCUGACUGGUAUUUUGAUUAUUCCUUAUAGUACAUUUAUGAAAUUGAGUUCAAUAAAGAGUUUACAUAUUUGGCUAUUAGCUUUUAGGUAUGGAAGAACUUGCUUAAAAUGUCAUUUAAAUAACAAUGCCUUCACUGUCUGAAAUAGUCGGAGAAUAGAACUAGAUUGUAUAAUUAGAUUAUAUAUUUGUGUAAAGUGCCCAUAAAUGGAUGUUUUAGUUUAGCAUAUGUAAGACAAGAAAUUCUGAUGAAUGCAUCUAAUGGUUUUGAACUGUUGAAGCCAUAUAUGCAGUUUGAAAAGUUCUGUCAUCAUCAAUGACAUAUAAAUAUUUUUUAACAAAAGUCAAAAAAGAAAAAAGAACCAGCCUUGAAUAGUUGAUUGGAAUAUUCAGAUAUAUCAUUUGAUUAUAUUAAUACAAAAUUAUAGUUUGGCAAUGAAGGGGGUUAUAUUCAAUUCAAAGUAAAAUGCUAAUGCAUUCAAAUAUAUAUACAUGUAUAUAUGUAUUCCCUGUUCUGUACACAUGCUUUAUGUUGAAGGAUGAAGUAAUUGAUCUCAAAAUGUUCCUUAUGUUAUAAAUAUAGAACUUAUUGAUCACCCCUCGUAUAACAUAAUUAGUAGGAAGGUGUUUAACUUUGUGAUUGUGAGUAGAGUUGAUGAACUUUGGAACCUAUUUGCAGGUGAUGUUAAUUUCAAACUUUCAAUCCAGAAGAGUUAUUUUAAAUGGCCGCUUACUUGAAAUGUUCUAUAACAAAUUGCAAUGCAUUCAUUUACAAAGCUCUUCAUCUUGCUAUUCUGUUAGGAGUGGGUAAUUAAAACAUGUGAAAGUAAAACUGUUUUAUUCAAGAAUGUCACUAAUCCAAUGAACAUGUUUUGUUUAAAUUAGACCUAUCGUCACCAUGGUGCUGGAUUUUAAAAAUAUAAGUCAUCUUUCAAAUCAAUAAUAUUAGUUAUAAUCUAUGUAUAUUAUCUAAAUAAAGCUCAUUAUGUAUUUAUUAUAUAUUAAAAAUAAUGUGUAUUGUUAAUUUUCUCAACAAUGGAGUUUUAUUACAGAUAUAGCAUCUGUAAGUUCCUUCAACUGUUCCCUCAUUAUAGUAAUAAUUCUAUUACUGGUGGGACCCUGAGAUUUGGAUUGUUUAAAUAUGGCUGCUAUCAUGUAAAAAUGGCCAUCACUUGACCCGAGUAAUAUUCAAAGUGGAUAAUAUGGGCUUCUCCAGAAUGGCUGCCGAUUUGAAUAUAUUUUGUUGAGUGGGAUUUGCUACUUCGUGGUUGAACAAAUAUUCUGGAAAAUAUAUAUAAAGAAAAAAUUCUGAAGAGGAGGUAAUAUUUUGCUGGAUGGCAGAAGUCAGUCCCUUUUAGAUUUCACCUGUCUCAUACCAAAGAGCAACAAAGUUAAGAAUUAUCUUACUAUUAUGACAUCAUUUAACAACAAUGGAG
rnacentral:misc_RNA from 1 species